rnacentral:rRNA from 1 species
GGUGGCGGACGGGUGAGUAACACGUAAAGACUUGCCCUGCAGUCUGGGACAACUAUUGGAAACGAUAGCUAAUACCGGAUAUUGCCGCAUGGCGAAAGCUAUAUGCGCUGCAGGAGAGCUUUGCGUCCCAUUAGUUAGUUGGUGAGGUAACGGCUCACCAAGACCGCGAUGGGUAGCCGGCCUGAGAGGGUGAACGGCCACAAGGGGACUGAGACACGGCCCUUACUCCUACGGGAGGCAGCAGUGGGGAAUAUUGGACAAUGGACCAAAGUCUGAUCCAGCAAUUCUGUGUGCACGAUGACGGUCUUAGGAUUGUAAAGUGCUUUCAAUCGGGAAAAAGAAAGUGAUGGUACCGAUAGAAGAAGCGACGGCUAAAUACGUGCCAGCAGCCGCGGUAAUACGUAUGUCG